GGAGAUGGCUCAGUGGGUAAGAGCAUUGACUGUUCUUCCAGCAGGCCUGGGUUCAAUUCCCAGCAUCUACA
rnacentral:tRNA from 1 species